GCCUUCAUGGUGUAGUGGUUAGCACGCUCGAUGCUUAUUCGAGAGGUCCAUGGUUCAAGCCCUGGUGAGGGCA
rnacentral:tRNA from 1 species